rnacentral:lncRNA from 1 species
GCCUUGGUAAUCCAGAUUCGGCUAGGAAAAGACAAGCUUUCCAGAGAAUGUUUCAGAGAAAGUUACGUGGAGCGUGGGCGUUUCGCAGACUCCUAAGCUUCUGGCAAGUAUGAGGCAAGGAUUUCACAGAAGAACUUGGAGCAAAAAUUCCCACUGUCAUAGCUAUAGGCUGUCCAGUCUUGAGGGAGCUGCAGGAACAGGAAAAAGACCUUCAGAGAAGACAUGGCUUCCAGAAAAGAGAAUGCGAAGAGUGCAAACAGAGUGCUAAGAAUAAGCCAGUUGGAUGCACUUGAACUAAACAAGGCCCUGGAGCAGCUAGUUUGGUCCCAGUUUACUCAGUGCUUUCAUGGAUUUAAACCUGGGCUGUUAGCUCGCUUUGAGCCAGAGGUGAAAGCGUGCUUAUGGGUUUUCUUGUGGAGAUUCACCAUCUACUCCAAAAAUGCCACAGUGGGACAGUCAGUUUUGAAUAUUAAGUACAAAAAUGAUUUUUCCCCUAACCUGAGAUAUCAGCCACCCAGUAAAAAUCAAAAAAUCUGGUAUGCUGUUUGUACAAUUGGUGGCAGGUGGUUAGAAGAACGAUGCUAUGAUUUGUUUCGAAACCAUCAUUUAGCAUCAUUUGGGAAAGUCAAGCAGUGUGUGAAUUUUGUGAUUGGACUUUUGAAAUUAGGUGGGCUGAUUAAUUUUUUGAUUUUCCUUCAGAGGGGAAAGUUUGCAACUUUGACAGAACGUCUCCUAGGUAUUCAUUCUGUAUUUUGCAAGCCUCAAAACAUAUGUGAAGUUGGCUUUGAAUACAUGAAUAGGGAACUUCUCUGGCAUGGUUUUGCUGAAUUUCUGAUUUUUCUCUUACCACUUAUCAAUGUCCAGAAGUUGAAAGCCAAGCUGUCUUCAUGGUGUAUUCCUCUUACUGGUGCACCUAAUAGUGACAAUACAUUAGCCACCAGUGGCAAAGAAUGCGCUCUAUGUGGAGAGUGGCCCACCAUGCCUCACACCAUAGGAUGUGAGCAUAUUUUCUGUUAUUUCUGUGCUAAGAGUAGUUUCUUAUUUGACGUGUACUUUACUUGUCCUAAGUGUGGCACAGAAGUACACAGUCUGCAGCCACUGAAAUCAGGAAUCGAGAUGUCAGAAGUAAAUGCUCUUUAGAAACUAAAAUUGCUUCCUUUGAGGAAAAAAAUGCACCGUGUUUAAAUUCUUAAUAUUAGUCAUCCUAAGUAUACCAUUUAUGUAUCCUUUAUAAGGAAUGUGCUCCUAGCCACUGUCUUCUCCUUUCCAGGCAUGACUGAAAUCUAAUCACUGGAAACCAUGUGAUUCUAAAUAUAUUAUGUAAAUGUUAAUGUAUUAUGUUUUUUAAAUCAUUGCAUUCAAUUUUUAAUGUCAAGAAUAAUGGACAGCUUUUGUCAGGUGACUACUAACAAUGCUCCUUCAUUUUACUACUUCUUAAAACAAGGUUGGAUUCUAAAGAUAAAGAUUUUGGAGACUCUG